AUUAUGGCAUGCCCUUACCAGCUGUCCGAGGAUGGGAUUGAACUGCAGUUUGCAACGAAUCAUCUCGGUUAGUACUGUACUGGUCAAUCGUGUCAACAAUUCCCUGCCAAAUGUAGCAUCAGGGGAUUUGCUUUGCUGAUAUGACCUGAAUUGCUAUUACUACUUUGUUCAGAAGAAUAUUAUACUUCUUCCGAAGCAAAUUAAUGCUUGAUUAAUUAGGCACAAACAUCUAUUGAAUUUGAGCAGGCCAUUUCUUGCUGACGAAUCUCCUACUCGACAAGAUGAAAUCAACUGCCAGUCAGACUGGUGUGCAAGGCAGGAUCAUAAACGUAGCUUCUGUUGCGCAUAAAAGAAGUGAUGGUACAUGCUUUGAGCUGGACAAGCUAAACGAUAAGGCUAGGUUGGCAAGAAGUUAAUGUUUAGUUGUCAUUGUCAUUGAUCCUGAUUCCAUGAGCUCAACUUAACAAGAAAUUAUUGUUUUUUCCUCUGAAAUUUAUAGGUACAAACCAUUCAUUGCAUAUUCACAUUCCAAAUUGGCCAAUAUUCUUCAUGCAAAUGAGCUGUCUAGGCGUUUUCAGGUAAGCAAUAUCUUGCCUUGCGGCUGAUUGCCUAAUUGCACAUUCACUACAUCCUGACAAACUAACCCACUUUUGGUGAAAUUUUAGGAAGAAGGAUGCAAUCUGACAGCAAAUUCCCUGCAUCCUGGAGUAAUCUUCACCAAUAUCGUCCGGUACAUUGCAGGAAACAGUAAUAACCUUGCAAGCUCAAGCCCCUUAAACGAUGACUCAAAAACGAUUUUUUUUACUGAUUUGUUGGAGCCUCUCACCAGUUAACUAAAAUAAAUGAAUACUUGGCAGGUGCGCUACUCUCAGUUGUCUCCCCUGUGGCAAAACUUGUUCUGAAGGGCGUACCCCAGGUUAUUGAAUCUUAGCUUCCAGUGAACUCACUAUAAUUAACAUAAUAACUGUUUUUAUAACUCAUAAGAACAUCAUCUGACGAACAUGGUUUGUAGGGAGCUGCAACUACUUGCUACCUGGCAUUGCACCCUGAUCUGAAAGAUGUAUCUGGCAAAUACUUUGCGGAUUGCAAUGAAGCAACACCGACCCCAGUCGCAAGAGAUGCAGAGCUGGCAAAGAAGCUAUGGUUAUUCAGUGAAGAACUUUUAGGGGCCAAUGCGGUGCAGGAAUAUCAUGAUUCAUGACUGCACUAGCAUAUUCAUGAAUAAAGUCAUUUAGGAGAUAUCUGAAAAGAAAGUUUUUUUUGGGGUCCCUGGACAUUGUAAAGGCGCUCUAGGAAUUACAGGGUCGAGUUUGAGUGGCCAACUUUCCUUGGAUGCUUGCUCAUGGUGUUGUGCAGAAUUAAAGCAACAAAAUAAGAUCUAGAAUGAAUUCUAAUGAAUUAUUACAAAUCCAACAUUUGGUGACGUAUGCUAGUCUCGUUAGGCAGUUAUUACAAAAUCCAAAAUCCAACUGUAUUUUUAUUAAUUAGAAACCAUAGGUCCAUUUUUGAACGUUUGAGCACGGUUUUGUAGAAAUAAUGCAAGCUCAUAUAACAAGAGAAAAAUCUAUACAACCCAUUAUAAACAACGGAUCAAUGGUUAGCCCGUGAUAGAUGAUGCACUUGCCGAUGUCACACAAUUGUACUUGCAACCGAGCCAGCUUAGUUAUAGUACAGUUACUGGAUCCUCACGCAAACCUCGGCUCCUCACCUCGCUGGCGAGCAAUAACUUUUUUGAUUGCUGAGGAAGCUUUUUUUCCUUGCUACAAUCUUAUCACGGGUCGUCGUCGUCGUCUUCUCCUCCUUCUAUAUCUUUUUUCACAUGUAUCAUGCCUUGGAGCAAAGAGGCCAAAUCAAUCUCAUGCAACCACGCCUCGUGCCGGUACGCCCUCCUAAGAUUUGGGAGGCCCGAAGCGAAAGUAAAACUUGGAGCCCUUUAAUAUAAACAUUAUAAUAAAUAUAUAUAAAAUGUUACCAAUAAAUACUUAAAUGUAUCUUAAAGCAAUAUUCAUAUCAAAUUAUUUAUACAUAUUACCUUAAAAGUUGCUUCUAACAUUCCUCGAUGCAAAGUCACUUAUGAUAGGGUUGAUGUCAAUCUGAUCCAACAAUUUCUUCUCAAUGCAUAAUAUUGCCAAACCAUUUAACCUCUUCCGAGUCAUUGUUGACCUCAAAUAGUUCUUCAAUAACUUCAACUUUGAAAGCUUCUUUCAGCCGAUGCGACAGUCACAUGCAUAGUAAAUAAGAGUCGGUAAGCAAUGGAGGUAUUAGGAUACAAAUCCACAUCUCCAACAUGCUCGAAAAUUUCUAUAGCAGACAUUACGCCAUCUAGCAAAGUGAAUAUCAUAAUCUUUAAUUCAGAAAUAAGAUCAUAUACCUCAACAUCAGAUGAGCCAUCAAAAGAAAAAGUUUCUGCAAAUUUAGUGCAACAUUCUUCAAGUUCAUUAUCAUUUAAUGACUUCAAAGUGCUUUAGCUCAAUAAAAAUCUGAAUAUAUCUUUAAACAUCAUGAGUUCUUCAAAGAAGUGAUUGUCAUAUCAACCAAAACAAAAAAAUAUUUAACUUCAAAAGCCUCCUCAGCUUCAAGAAUUUCUUCUUGGCGGUUACUUUUAUCAAACUGUUUCUUCUUCGUAGCAUGACGUUUUUCUGGAAAUGAUGCCUCUACAUCCAUUUCUGUUGCAAUACUUUUGGCGAUAAUCAGACUAGAAGAAAACCCCUCAUUUUUGUAAUUCUCAAAAUAUUGCGUUAUACCUUGUAUUUGCUUGAAAGUAGAGUCAAUGUACAUGGUUCACGAUUGCAACUUCUUGAUCACUUUAUUUACAACAAAUAAAAUAUCAUGCCAGAUAACCAUACUGAGUAGAAACUCAAAGCUGCCAAGUGCAUCAAAAUUUUUUUUUGCAUCACUUUUAUCCUUAGGUUUAAUGUUAGAAGCAUGACGUAACUCAGACAUUGAACCUAAGGAUAAAAGUGAUGCAACAAAUUUAUUUGAUACACUUAGCAACUUUGAGUUUCUACUUGGUAUGGUUAUCUAGCAUGAUAUUUUAUUUGCUAUAAAUAAAGUGAGCAAGAAGUUGCAAUCAUCAGUCAUGUGCAUUAACUCUACUUUGAAACAAAUACAAGGUAUAACACAAUACUUUGAAAAUUACAGAAAUGAGGGGUUUUCUUCUAGUCUGAUCACCGCCAAAGGUAUUACACAGAAAUGGGUGUAGAGGCAUCAUUUCCAAAAAAAACGUCAUGCUACGAAGAAUAAACAGUUUGAUGAAAGUAACUGCCAAGAAGAAAUUCUUGAAGCUGAGAAGGCUUUCGAAGUUAAAUAUUUUUUAUUUUGGUUAAUAUGGCGAUCACUUCUUUAAAGAACAGAUUUGAAGAACUCAUGGUGUUUAAAGAUAUAUUCGGAUUUUUAUUGACCUCAAGCACAUUAAAGUCAUUAAAUGACAAUGAACUUGAAGAAUGUUGCACUAAAUUUGCAGAAAUUUUUUCUUUUGAUGGUUCAUCUGAUGUUGAGGUAUAUGAUCUUAUUUCUUAAUUAAAUAUUAUGAAAUUCACUGUGCCAGAUGGCGUAAUGUCUGAGAUUUUUGAGGAAAUGUGGAUUGUUAUCCUAAUGUCUCUAUUGCUUACCAACUCUUAUUUAUUGUACCUGUGACUGUUGCAUCGGCUGAAAAAAGCUUUUCAAAGUUUCUGAAAGAAGCUUUUCAAAGUUGAAGUUAUUGAAGAACUAUUUGAGAUUAAUAAUGACUCAAGAGAGGUUAAAUGGUUUGGCAACAUUAUGCAUUGAGAAGAAAUUGUUGGAUGAGAUUGACAUCAACCCUAUCAUAAGUGACUUUGCAUUGAGGAAUGUUAGAAGAAACUUUUAAAGUAAUAUGUAUAAAUAAUUUGACAUAAAUAUUACUUUUAGAUAUAUUUAAGUAUUUAUUGGUAACAUUUCAUAUAUAUUUAUUAUAAUAUUUAUAUUACAUGGUCUCGAGUUUUACGUUUCGCCCCGAGCAAUUUGGACCGGCCCUGGAUUAGUCACACUGAUUCACUGAAGAAAUAGAAGGAAAAUUAACACGAACACGGACCAUGAAUCCGGAUCGAAUGCAGGAUCUCUAAUUCAUCGGAUAUUGAAUUUAAUCGGAGGCAGUUUAGGCGAGUACCUGCAAGGUGUACUCGAACGCUCGAGAUCCCGUCGACUCCUUUGGCGCCGGCGUCUGGCGCCCGCCGGCGAGGGCACAUCGAACGUGAAGCAUGGAGGUCCAGCUAACAACUAAAACCUAUUGGGGAAUAUAGAUCUGAAAAAAAAAACUGAACUCUUUGUUUUAGAUUUCCCACCAAAUUAACCCAAGGAAGUUAGGGGCUUAGGGCUCCACACAAAUGAUUAAAAAGAAAUCAAUCCAAGUCUGAGAGGUGGAUCUCUACUACCCUAAGCCAUAUGGCAUAGACGAAGGAGGACAGAAGAGUACCUUUGUGGCGCUUCUUCGGCGGGAAAGAGGUCUGGGGUUCUUCUUCGUUCGGAGUUUGUCUUUGUCGUCGCGAGGUCUGAUUAGGGAUGGCAACGGGGACUAAUCCCCGCGGGGUCCCCAUCCCCGCGAACAGAAGCAGUUGACUCCGGAAGAGCUCGCACAUUGAGGCCGAAGGCAUCACCAUCAGAGCGAAACUCAAUCUUCCCUACCACUGCUUCCCCAAUCCCCGAAACAACCUCUUACUUCAUUGCCGUCGGAGCUCAAGACGCAACGAUGGAGAAGCGUAGGCAGGAGAUGAGGGCCCUGCCGCGCAGUUGCCUGGCAUUAGAGUUGGAGGAGGCUUCGCUAUGGGAGAGGAGGCGG
rnacentral:lncRNA from 1 species